rnacentral:lncRNA from 10 species
CAGGGCCGGCCGGCAGCCGCUGCUCUUUCACAGCCCCAGACCCUGCGCGGCCUGCCGGCGGCUGGCGACCUCCCUUCCCCUCCCGAGGCGCCCGAGCCUCUGAUCCCCUCCCGGGGCGCCUGUGGCCUCCCUUCCCCUCCCGGGGCGCCCGAGCCUCUGAUCCCCUCCCGGGGCGCCUGUGGCCUCCCUUCCCCUCCUGGGGCGCCUGUGACCUCCCGUCCCCUCCCGCGGCUCCCGCGGCCUCCGACCUCCUGCCGGGGCGCCUCAAGGGCCCCUGCCCCACAUCAGAGGGUCUUGCGGUUUCCUGGUUUGGUUCAACAUCUCUGAAACCCAGAGGUGAAGAAGAAACCAUGGAGGAGAAUCCGAAACAGUCUUCCAGAUCAGACCUCUAAAAUAACUAAAUUCUUGUUAAUCAUUAGAUUCUCCCUUUUAUUUAAUGUGUAAGUCCAAGGGGAUUCCUUCUGCUUCCCCAUUCAAUUAGACAGCAACCUCUUCCUCUAAAGUUCUCUCAUCUGAAGCCAUCUGAGCAGGAGCACUUUGACCAACUCAAUUCUGCUCUGAUCUGGACUACUUCUCCCAGUUUAGGGAUCAGUAAAUUGCCAAACACUUCCCAAUUUAUCCCUGAAGGAAUCCCUGAAAAAUGAUGGCCUUUAUUCUCCCUCAGAGAGGGAGCUUGAGCUCUUGAGAAAGACAUGAAGGCCCUUGCCGCUGUCGGCAUCACUCCUUCCUCCCUAAUCCGGUCAGUUAAUUGCUGAGUGCUCGCUUCCUGAUCUGCGUGAUGGCCUCGGAACCGGGCUGCGUGUAGACCUGGGUGACUAUCAGCUCAGCUCCCAAGUGGAGGGCCUCGGAAGACGCUCUGUGCGGCCUACUAACAAGCACGAGACACCAGAGGUACACGCAGAGAAAAGGCCAUGAGAAGACACAGCGGGAAGAUAGCCAUCUGCAAGCCAAGGAGAGAGGCCUCCAGAGACACCAAAACCUGCCGACACCUUCAUCUUGGACUUCAUGCCCCCAAAACUGUGAGAAAAUAAAUUUCUGUUGUUUAAGC